AUGGCGGUGGAGAGUGCACUAGACCAGCAGAAACCCACAGGGUCACCUGAGGACUGGGUGGAGUGGUUCCUUCAUCGUAUGCAUCAGGAGCCGUGGGCACUAGGUGGUAUUGCCGUCAUUGGAGUGUUUGUCCUGGUAAUUCUCUCUCUGGUCAUCUUUGCUCUACUGUACGGAUGCUGCCGCAGCUCAGGAGACAAGAACACGAAGAGAAGGCAGAAGAAUUCAAAGGACAGAGUCAUUUAAGUGUAUUCAGAUAAAAGAGAAAAUGUACACUUUUCCACUUUUGAAUUUCUUUGCUACAUAGUAUGGGACUCUUUUUUUAAGGCUUCUUCAACAAAAAUUUGAAUGAAAUUAAAAUGCCCAUAUAUUUUUUCAGUAUCCGCAAAAAUGGCCGGACCACAUCACAGACGGCAAACCAUUGUUCCACUUUGUAACACGUCAUUGCCAAGCAGCUGAUUGUAAGAAUUGUAAAAUGGUGAAUGGACUGGAUUUUCUACUCUGAGCACUCAAACUACUUUUCACUACAAGAAGAAAAUAUUUCAAUAUUGCAGCUGUAUGAAAAAUAGCAUGAACUGACACUAAAAUCAUAACCCUAUUACACUAAUAACUAUUAAACCUUUUCUUCUAAUUUAUUCCAAUUCCAAUUUAUUGUGAUUUGAAAUUAUGCAUAACCAUUCUAUCAGUCUACACAAAUGUUUGUGUAAAUUCAUAUGUUUAUCUAGUGAUUUUUUUUUACGCUCACACAUAGUAAAAAGUGACUGUUUCAAUGUGAUUUCAGUGUGAUUAAAUAUGCAACCAGGCUGGGGGAUUAUGAUAAUAAGACACACAUGAAUUCAAUCUAGGUAUUAAGGAAGGAAGGAAGGUAAAAGAACAAUGGAGGGAAGUAAAAACACAGCCCUGUGAGAAACUAACCUUCAAAAUAAAAUGCAAAGGGAACUUAAAGAGACCCCCAAAAAGCACAGAACAGCUAUGAGUAGAGAAGGGGGACAAAGAAAGCACACAGAAGAGUAAAAUAUUCAGAAACACAAGCAUCAAAAAGUAUGGCAACAGCAGAAUCAUAACAGCUUUAUUCAAAACCACAUCAUAUGUAAUCAGGAGGAAAGAACAGCAAUUUACUAGUUUUCGAAUGAGUGCUUGCUCAAACCACUUCCUUUGGGUUAUUAGUGAAGAUGGAUCACAUUUGUUUCCCAAAUGUUAAUUAGUUCUUACAACUAGAGAUUAAAUAUUCACAGCAUUUCACAGAAAUGCAAAAUAACAAAAUAAUUUUUGUUAUUAAACUCCUACUGGAUACUGGGUGUUUGAUCUGAAGGUUUGUUUGCUUUACAGUGGUGUAUAAGACGUGUUGGUUUUUGUGCAUCUAGUGUUUCUAGUAUAUCAAAAAAGUCAAAUACCAUGUUGUCAGAUAUUGCAGGAGGUGUAUAGAACAGGUUAUGUAUGCAAUAAUGUGCAGCACAGGUUAAGUGCGUAUGAAAGCAGAAUACAUUUUAAAUGAGACUUUAAAAAGUCUUAGCAUCACAACUGGACAUAUUAGUAUAAAAUCAUUCAGAUUUUAUAAGUUUUGGUUGGCAUAAAUGUAGUUUAGUGUUUCGUGUCUGUGAAACAAUACCUAGUACAAUACCUACAAUACCAAGUACAUAUGUUGGGUGUAAACUGUAACGGAUGAAUGCCUAAGAGAUGUUUACACAAGUAUUUUUAAAGCUUCUUCCUGGUACAACAAUAGAAUGACUACAUUUCCCAGUGCCAGACCGGUUCCUUCGGUGUCUUACCGUUUUGAUGACGUGAA
rnacentral:lncRNA from 1 species